AGAGGCAGAGGCAGGAGAAUCACUUGAACCCGGGAGGUGGAGUUUGCCGCAGAGAUCAAGACACUGCACGCCAGCCUGGGCAACUCAGCCUCCUGAGUGGCUGGGAUUACAGGCACCCGCCAUCGUGCCCGGCUAAUUUUUGUAUUUUUAUAGAGACAGGGUUUUAAUAUGUUGGCCAAGCUGAUCUUGAACUCCUCAUCUCAGGUGAUCCGCCCUCCUCAGCCUCCUAAAUUGCUGGGAUUACAGUCAUGAACCACCGCGCCUGGAGAGUUCUCUUUUCUUUGGGUAGGGCAAGGCAAACUGGAAUGGAUUCACCGGAGAGCUGUGCGCAUGCCCUGGAAAGCAUUCUGGUUAGACCCAUGUGAGACAGGAUGGAAGAUCAGUGGAGCCUUCUUUCUGCCAUCUUGCUUUACCCUCACACCCAAGAAUCAGAAUGCAGAACUUUUAAUCAGAAAAGCAUUCAGAACUCAGGAAGGACAUGGAAGACAUCCUGGUUCUCCACGUUUAACAUUGGACUGUUUCUUCAACUUAGGUGCAUAGCACUGACACUAAUCAGGGAUUAUCACCGAUAAUUUGACUUGGACUAUGGAGUUCAUUCAAAUACUUUAUCUAGACAAUUUAAGUACUGGCUUAUUUGUCAUGAAAAUCUGACAAAGUAAUUUCUUGGUAUUCAGUUGAUUUUUACUCUGUUUGGGUUAGCAGUUUAUAAACCAGUCAGUCUCUUCAUUAAAGUUCUGGGAAUUCUUACUCGUUCAAAUGAUAUGAUUCUAAAGUUCUCAAAAAUCUGUAUUCUAGAAUUCUUCUCAGGACCUUUUCCCUCCUUUCAUGAAACUCCUUAAAGAUACAGUAUUCUAUAAUUUUGCAAGCUUGUACAGUUUUCAGAAACUGCCUCAGAAUUAAGCAAUUUACAGUGGAAAUGUUUUUAAAUUGUCAUAGACACAAUUGACAAGAAAAUUUUAUUAUUUACAGGCGUGAGCCACCACACCCAGCCUCUGAAGUUAAUUUAAUAAAAUUUUAUGAAUAAAUUUAUCAAAUGUGUCAUCUUUUAAUCCCAGAUCUUUGUGAACCUAUGCUUUGCAUUUCCCCCAGCUUUCUAUAUUUACCUAGUUUUAUCUAUUUUUUACUUGUACAAUUUGAAACCUUUAAGUAACUUCAAACAAAAAAAAAUUAAAACAUAUGUUUACG
rnacentral:lncRNA from 1 species